GACGAACGCUGGCGGCGUGCUUAACACAUGCAAGUCGAACGGAAAGGCACUGCUUUCGUGGGGUGAUCGAGUGGCGAACGGGUGAGUAACACGUGAGUAACCUGCCCUAGACUUUGGGAUAACUUCAGGUAACUGGGGCUACUCCCGGAUCGGAGCUCCCGUUGCAUGGUGGGGGUUGGAACGUUUCGGCGGGUGGGGAUGGAUGCGCGGCUGAUCGGCUAGCUGGUGGGGGAGUGGCUUACCAAGGCUUGGACGGGUACGCGGCCUGAGAGGGUGACCGGCCACAUUGGUACUGAGAGACGGCCCAGACUCCUACGGGAGACAGCAGUGGGGAAUAUUGCACAAUGGGCGGAAGCCUGAUACAGCAACGCCGCGUGCGGGAUGACGGCCUUCUGGUUGUGAACCGCUUUCGCCUGUUACGAAGCGUGAGUGGCGGUAAUGGGUAAAGAAGCACCGGCUAACUACGUG
rnacentral:rRNA from 1 species